rnacentral:tRNA from 3 species
GCCAGGUUACCCAAGUGGUCAACGGGGGCAGACUGUAAAUCUGCUGAUGUAUGUCUUCAGAGGUUCGAAUCCUUUACCUGGCACAA